UCCAUUGAGGUCAACAAAGCAAUUGCAUCCUUUUCUUAGAAGUAAUUUGCAUAAUCUAGGAGAAAAUGUGCAACAUUUAUAAGUUCAAAAACUCGGUUAAACCUUUGUUAACGUUGAGUCAAGUUGGUUGUCCAAGAUCAAGAACUUUCAAGGAUAGAUGUAUUUGAUUUUUUUCUCGGGAAACAACGUUGAACAACAUAUAACGUAGAGAAAGAUCAGUACUGGCCC
rnacentral:lncRNA from 1 species